rnacentral:rRNA from 1 species
CAGCACCUCAAGUGGUCAGGAUGAUUAUUGGGCCUAAAGCAUCCGUAGCCGGCUCUGUAAGUUUUCGGUUAAAUCUGUACGCUCAACGUACAGGCUGCCGGGAAUACUGCAGAGCUAGGGAGUGGGAGAGGUAGACGGUACUCGGUAGGAAGGGGUAAAAUCCUUUGAUCUAUUGAUGACCACCUGUGGCGAAGGCGGUCUACCAGAACACGUCCGACGGUGAGGGAUGAAAGCAGGGGGAGCAAACCGGAUUAGAUACCCGAGUAGUCC